rnacentral:rRNA from 1 species
UACGUAGGCAGCGAGCGUUUGUUCGGAGUUACUGGGCGUAAAGGGUGUGUAGGCGGUUCUUUAAGUUUGGUGUGAAAUCUCCCGGCUCAACCGGGAGGGUGCGCCGAAUACUGAGGGACUAGAGUAUGGGAUGGGAAAGUGGAAUCCUGGUGUAGCGGUGAAAUGCGUAGAUAUCAGGAGGAACACCUGUGGUGUAGACGGCUUUCUGGACCUAACUGACGCUGAGACACGAAAGCGUGGGUAGCAAACAGG